AAUAACGCGUUGAACAAGAGGGACGUAGUGGAUUUUUCAGCGACAGGGCGGUUGGUGCGAGCCCUGAAUGAAUCUAUGUCUGUAGCUUGCGAGUCCUACCUUGAAUCUAGUAGAGGUAGUCGGAUAGCUUCCGUUAUCGGCUAUUAAAGCGGGGGAAUGUCCCCAAUUUAGGUGGUACCGCGAGUCAACUCGUCCUAAUU
rnacentral:ncRNA from 1 species